GGGUUGUGAGGUUAAGCGACUAAGCGUACACGGUGGAUGCCCUGGCAGUCAGAGGCGAUGAAGGACGUGCUAAUCUGCGAUAAGCGUCGGUGAGGUGAUAUGAACCGUUAUAACCGGCGAUUUCCGAAUGGGGAAACCCAGUGUGAUUCGUCACACUAUCAUUAACUGAAUCCAUAGGUUAAUGAGGCGAACCGGGGGAACUGAAACAUCUAAGUACCCCGAGGAAAAGAAAUCAACCGAGAUUCCCCCAGUAGCGGCGAGCGAACGGGGAGGAGCCCAGAGCCUGAAUCAGUGUGUGUGUUAGUGGAAGCGUCUGGAAAGGCGCGCGAUACAGGGUGACAGCCCCGUACACAAAAAUGCACAUAUUGUGAGCUCGAUGAGUAGGGCGGGACACGUGGUAUCCUGUCUGAAUAUGGGGGGACCAUCCUCCAAGGCUAAAUACUCCUGACUGACCGAUAGUGAACCAGUACCGUGAGGGAAAGGCGAAAAGAACCCCGGCGAGGGGAGUGAAAAAGAACCUGAAACCGUGUACGUACAAGCAGUGGGAGCCUCUUAAUGGGGUGACUGCGUACCUUUUGUAUAAUGGGUCAGCGACUUAUAUUCUGUAGCAAGGUUAACCGAAUAGGGGAGCCGAAGGGAAACCGAGUCUUAACUGGGCGUUAAGUUGCAGGGUAUAGACCCGAAACCCGGUGAUCUAGCCAUGGGCAGGUUGAAGGUUGGGUAACACUAACUGGAGGACCGAACCGACUAAUGUUGAAAAAUUAGCGGAUGACUUGUGGCUGGGGGUGAAAGGCCAAUCAAACCGGGAGAUAGCUGGUUCUCCCCGAAAGCUAUUUAGGUAGCGCCUCGUGAAUUCAUCUCCGGGGGUAGAGCACUGUUUCGGCAAGGGGGUCAUCCCGACUUACCAACCCGAUGCAAACUGCGAAUACCGGAGAAUGUUAUCACGGGAGACACACGGCGGGUGCUAACGUCCGUCGUGAAGAGGGAAACAACCCAGACCGCCAGCUAAGGUCCCAAAGUCAUGGUUAAGUGGGAAACGAUGUGGGAAGGCCCAGACAGCCAGGAUGUUGGCUUAGAAGCAGCCAUCAUUUAAAGAAAGCGUAAUAGCUCACUGGUCGAGUCGGCCUGCGCGGAAGAUGUAACGGGGCUAAACCAUGCACCGAAGCUGCGGCAGCGACACUAUGUGUUGUUGGGUAGGGGAGCGUUCUGUAAGCCUGUGAAGGUGUACUGUGAGGUAUGCUGGAGGUAUCAGAAGUGCGAAUGCUGACAUAAGUAACGAUAAAGCGGGUGAAAAGCCCGCUCGCCGGAAGACCAAGGGUUCCUGUCCAACGUUAAUCGGGGCAGGGUGAGUCGACCCCUAAGGCGAGGCCGAAAGGCGUAGUCGAUGGGAAACAGGUUAAUAUUCCUGUACUUGGUGUUACUGCGAAGGGGGGACGGAGAAGGCUAUGUUGGCCGGGCGACGGUUGUCCCGGUUUAAGCGUGUAGGCUGGUUUUCCAGGCAAAUCCGGAAAAUCAAGGCUGAGGCGUGAUGACGAGGCACUACGGUGCUGAAGCGACAAAUGCCCUGCUUCCAGGAAAAGCCUCUAAGCAUCAGGUAACAUCAAAUCGUACCCCAAACCGACACAGGUGGUCAGGUAGAGAAUACCAAGGCGCUUGAGAGAACUCGGGUGAAGGAACUAGGCAAAAUGGUGCCGUAACUUCGGGAGAAGGCACGCUGAUAUGUAGGUGAAGCGACUUGCUCGUGGAGCUGAAAUCAGUCGAAGAUACCAGCUGGCUGCAACUGUUUAUUAAAAACACAGCACUGUGCAAACACGAAAGUGGACGUAUACGGUGUGACGCCUGCCCGGUGCCGGAAGGUUAAUUGAUGGGGUUAGCGGUAACGCGAAGCUCUUGAUCGAAGCCCCGGUAAACGGCGGCCGUAACUAUAACGGUCCUAAGGUAGCGAAAUUCCUUGUCGGGUAAGUUCCGACCUGCACGAAUGGCGUAAUGAUGGCCAGGCUGUCUCCACCCGAGACUCAGUGAAAUUGAACUCGCUGUGAAGAUGCAGUGUACCCGCGGCAAGACGGAAAGACCCCGUGAACCUUUACUAUAGCUUGACACUGAACAUUGAGCCUUGAUGUGUAGGAUAGGUGGGAGGCUUUGAAGUGUGGACGCCAGUCUGCAUGGAGCCGACCUUGAAAUACCACCCUUUAAUGUUUGAUGUUCUAACGUGGGCCCCUUACCGGGGUUGCGGACAGUGUCUGGUGGGUAGUUUGACUGGGGCGGUCUCCUCCUAAAGAGUAACGGAGGAGCACGAAGGUUGGCUAAUCCUGGUCGGACAUCAGGAGGUUAGUGCAAUGGCAUAAGCCAGCUUGACUGCGAGCGUGACGGCGCGAGCAGGUGCGAAAGCAGGUCAUAGUGAUCCGGUGGUUCUGAAUGGAAGGGCCAUCGCUCAACGGAUAAAAGGUACUCCGGGGAUAACAGGCUGAUACCGCCCAAGAGUUCAUAUCGACGGCGGUGUUUGGCACCUCGAUGUCGGCUCAUCACAUCCUGGGGCUGAAGUAGGUCCCAAGGGUAUGGCUGUUCGCCAUUUAAAGUGGUACGCGAGCUGGGUUUAGAACGUCGUGAGACAGUUCGGUCCCUAUCUGCCGUGGGCGCUGGAGAACUGAGGGGGGCUGCUCCUAGUACGAGAGGACCGGAGUGGACGCAUCACUGGUGUUCGGGUUGUCAUGCCAAUGGCACUGCCCGGUAGCUAAAUGCGGAAGAGAUAAGUGCUGAAAGCAUCUAAGCACGAAACUUGCCCCGAGAUGAGUUCUCCCUGACUCCUUGAGAGUCCUGAAGGAACGUUGAAGACGACGACGUUGAUAGGCCGGGUGUGUAAGCGCAGCGAUGCGUUGAGCUAACCGGUACUAAUGAACCGUGAGGCUUAACCUUACAACGCCGAAG
rnacentral:rRNA from 1 species